UACGUAGGGGGCAAGCGUUAUCCGGAAUUACUGGGUGUAAAGGGUGCGUAGGUGGUAUGGCAAGUCAGAAGUGAAAACCCAGGGCUUAACUCUGGGACUGCUUUUGAAACUGUCAGACUGGAGUGCAGGAGAGGUAAGCGGAAUUCCUGGUGUAGCGGUGAAAUGCGUAGAUAUUAGGAGGAACAUCAGUGGCGAAGGCGGCUUACUGGACUGAAACUGACACUGAGGCACGAAAGCGUGGGGAGCAAACAGG
rnacentral:rRNA from 1 species